AUAAGUGUUAAGGCGAACUGACAAGGAAAUGUCGUUGGGAAGAAGCAAGCAGUCCGAAGGAAGAAAAGGAAGAAUGGCUGAUUAAUUCAACUAGCUGAAGAUGGCAGGCUGAAGUAAUAUUUCUUCAGCAUCUUCUUUCAAUAAUAACGAUGAUGAUGAUGACGGUGGCAAUGAUGAAGAUGGUGAGGAUGACAGUGCCAAAAGUUGGUCGUCGGGGAUGGCGGGAAAUGAUUCAGUAGCAACGAUGAUGAUGACGAUAACGAUGAUGGUGGUGGUGAUGAUUGUGGUGGUACUCAGUUUUUCCAUAUUAACAGAAGCAAAGAAAAUUGUAGGUCGAAAGAGGAGAAGUAGGAGAUGUAAGAAGAAAGGGGAAGUGAUCGCUGAAAGCGGAAAAGAAAAAAAAUGGAUUAAUGAUAGAAAAUAUCAUCAUAUUUUCCGUCAUACAAGUCGAGGUAUAAAGUAUUAUAAGAGUGAAUAUGUAAUGUAAAUAUUGAAACAUCGUCACUAUCUUUCCAAACCCUGUUGCAUAUCACAUGCAAUUUUUGGUCCGUCAAAGUUGUCUUGGUGUAUAAGUCGACUAGUUCCCUCCCACCAAUUUUCAGGCUUUGUGUCUUCAGCAGAAAUGAUUAUUAUUGUUAUUAUUAUUGGCACUGCUGUCUUGUCACUGAGGACAGAGCCAUUGAAUGCGAUUGUCUGACGCCACAUUCCUGGCAUUCUGCUUUUUCCCCCCUUACCACUGCGAACCCGCGUCUUACUUCAACAACAGUUAACAACUAAGCCCAGUAGAUCCCUACACCCCCGACGCCAACAUCACCCCACUGGAAUAUGAAGCGUCUCAAACUUACCAAAGACUAUACAACAGAAAUGAUAUUUAUAUAUUUUUUUAAAAUUAAAUUAUUGGUAACUGUUUGGUUUGUCAAAUUUGUCGACAUUAUCUGUCAGUAGUUUGAAACAUGAGGAGGUGGUGUGGUGGUGGCUUGAUGUUUACUCUCAGGAAGAAAGACAAGAGACAUAUUGCUCAGACGGUUCACCCUUUUCACUUGCGGUGAGCUGGCAGAAACGUUAGCACGCCGGGCGAAAUGCUUAGCGAUAUUUCGUCUGUCUUUACGUUCUGAGUUCAAAUUCCGCCGAGAUCGACUUUGCCUUUCAUCCUUUCGAGGUCGAUAAAUUAAGUACUAGUUGUGUACUGGAGUCAAUCUAAUCGACUGGACCCCUCUCCCAAAAUUUCGGGCCUUGUGCCUAGAGAAGAAAAGAAUAUUCUUCAGAUUUUGAGUUGAAAUAAGCCUUGUGAGUGGAUUUGGUAGACGGAAACUGAAAGAAGACCGUCGUACAUAUGUAUAUAUGUGUGUGUGUGUGUGUGUAUAUGUUUGUGUAUCUGUGUUUGUCUCCCUAACAUCGCUUGACAACCGAUGUUGGUGUGUUUACAUCCCCGUAACUUAGCGGUUUGGCAAAAAGACACCGAUAGAAUAAGUACUAGGCUUCCAAAGAAUAAGUCCUGGGGUCGAUUUGCUCGGCUAAAGGCUGUGCUCCAGUAUGGCCGCAGUCAAAUGACUGAAACAAGUAAAAGAGUAUAUCUGUGGCUAUAUUUCAACGUGUCCUAUUCUUUUUAAAAGUAACAGAGAUGGGUAGAGAGAGAGAGAUUUGGUUCUUAUUUCUAGUAGGCCGAACUACAACUUCGUUACCUUGCAAGUCCGGAGAAUGAAUUAAGAGGAUUAACAAUCCAUAUUUCCAAUGAUAUAUCGAGUAGAGUGUACUUAAGGCGGCAAGGGACUGGAUGGCAACCACCCACGCAGGUCAUGGCCUGAGAUUUGAACUCAGAAUGCAAUGACUCGGAACAAAUACCGCAAGACAGACCAUCUAACAUUGUAAGAAGAUUUCCGCCAGUCCGCUUUGAAAAGGAUAAAAGCAAAGUUGACGUUAGUGUGAUCUGAACUCAGAUGGGAGGGCACCAUAAAUAACGUGCUGUUCUCGGCCAUUUUUUUGUCUUUGAAUCUUAUUUUAAUCUGUAAGACCUCCAAAGCCUUUGAAUGUAAAUAUAUAUGUAUAAAAGAA